UGGUAUUAUAUUUUAAAAAGAAAACUUGAUUUGCAAUUAAUAAGUAAUAGUAUCUACUAUUUAAUACCA
rnacentral:tRNA from 1 species